UACGUAGGGGGCAAGCGUUAUCCGGAUUUACUGGGUGUAAAGGGAGCGUAGACGGCUGUGCAAGUCAGAUGUGAAAUCCACGGGCUCAACCCGUGAACUGCAUUUGAAACUGUUUCCCUUGAGUGUCGGAGAGGUAAUCGUAAUUCCUUGUGUAGCGGUGAAAUGCGUAGAUAUAAGGAAGAACACCAGUGGCGAAGGCGGAUUACUGGACGAUAACUGACGGUGAGGCGCGAAAGCGUGGGGAGCAAACAGG
rnacentral:rRNA from 1 species